UAGAAGCCAAGCUUGUUAUGUAAUUGUGGACCGCUGAGGAUGCUGCCUGCGCUGGCGAGAUGAGAAAGCAGGUGGAUAAUGUGCAUGCGCAGUACCAACACUAUCAGGACCAUUGCGCUAAGAUCCUGCGAAGCCAUGUGAGAAAUCGGUGCUUGUAUACACGCUGAUGGAGAUGGCUAAUUAUCUUUACAUUUGAAGAAGAAUAGCAUGUGAAAAGGAAAUUACGAGGAAACAACUGAAAGGUCUGUUACGCACGCCAAACGCCGACGCUGCGUAAAAACGGAGGAAACGUUACCGUUAUACGGAUGCAAAAACAAUAACAGCCUAGCCUACAUGUUAUUGUGCACAACUGCCUUUCUUUAGCGGGAAAUAAAGUAAAAGUCUUUGUGUAGUAAUUGUCAACAUGACGGGCUUUCAUGGUUAAAUGGUCGUGGUCGCCUUGUGUUCGUUCUUCCCUACUCCUCAAUAGUAAUGGCUGCUCUUUAUCAGGGCACUGACGUGUCCUCUCCAGAUACAUUUCUGGUCCUGAAAGACAUGCGGGAAGUUAAGGAGGACACUACUCAAGACGAGAAGCUCUUCCUACUGGCCAGUGAGAAAGGUAUGGUGUCGUCGGACGUGAAGCGUCUAUGGUACGAGGUAUUGAAGGACUUCCUGGAUGAGGAAUCAGCUGAGCUUCGUCAUGAACUCCCUUUACCUGUUCACCUUCGCCCUCAAGAUAGUGUCCCACAGCAAGGUUAAGAACGUGGAGGACACAGAGCGAGGAAGAAUAAGGAUGCCUUCCACCCCAUCCUAACGUCCUGAGUUACCUACGACUCGUCUUCAUGUACACCACCAACUCCAUACUAGGACCACUGCAGCAGAAAUCUCCUGUGGAUUGUCAGGGGCCUGCUAGGCUUCAAAACCUCCAAGUACGCCAUGUUCUACCCACGGAGCUAGGACUGAUCGGGUCUCAACCUAACCUCAACUUCAACCCAACCAUGCUCUACCCCAGCAGUUAUGCAUAAACCACCUCUGACUCCAACCGAGCCUCAACCAACCAGCUAAGACUGUUACAAAUUGGAUGACUUGAGACUUGAUAGAAAAUAAAAUAACUUCAGACUUGAUAGAAAAUAAAAUAAUGGGCCCUCAAGUCUCGGGACUCAACUUUGACUUGAGACUGGUGACUUGAAAUUAUCCUGCCAGGUUUUGUAACGUUUUGUCAUGCAUUUUGUGGCACGGUCUCUGGAUUACUCUCCAUGCAGCCAGAGACAGUAUCGCAUUUGUCUAGACCGGGCCCUUGUCUAGACCGGGCACUUGUCUAGACCGGGCACUUGUCUAGACCGGGCACUUGUCUAGACCGGGCACUUGUCUAGACCGGGCACUUGUCUAGACUGGGCCCUUGUCUAGACCGGGCGCUUGUCUAGACCGGGCGCUUGUCUAGACAGGGCGCUUGUCUAGACAGGACCUUUGUCUAGACCGAGCCCUUGUCUAGACCGAGCCCUUGUCUAGACCGGGCCCUUGUCUAGACCGAGCCCUUGUCUAGACCGGGCCCUUGUCUAGACCGGGCCCUUGUCUAGACCGGGCCCUUGUCUAGACCGGGCACUUGUCUAGACCGGGCACUUGUCUAGACCGGGCCCUUGUCUAGACCGGGCCCUUGUCUAAACCGGGCACUUGUCUAGACGGGGCACGUGCGUACGCGUACGCCAUCGUGCGCAUGUUGAUUUUGUACACCCACAUCAGACGCAAUCCAGAUACGCAGGUUGAAAUAUCAAAAUAAUCUCUGAACCAACUAUAUUCAUUUAGGGACAGGUCAAAACACAUGAAACAUUCAUGGACAUUUAGCUUGCUGUUGCUAGCUAAUUUGUUCUGGGAUACAGUAUAUAUAUGCAUUAUAAGGUUUAAUAUUGUUCGACAGUUCUUUUCUAGUCUCUGCCUCUUAUAAAGAAACGGUCUGAGAGAUGUGUGAGUUAUUGCAGACAAAACAGAAAACAGGGUGUCUGUGAGAAAGCGCCUCAAGGCUAAAGGGAUUAAUAGACACAGAACCCUGUAGGGGAGUGAAAGAGAUACGAGACUAGUCAGACAUACCACUAUAAAACAACUUGGGGAGUGGAAAAUGACUGCUGAGCCCUUAGAAAACACUGGACCUAUUGUCUCUCCUGCAAGUUUGUAUAACUGUAUAUGCAUGGGCUUGGUCUCAUGAGUAGAAGGUGUUGACGUAGGCAGUUACAUUACUAGGGGUUGACUGCAAGCAUAUUAAAGCAACUUUAACCUUUUUUAUGUUGCAGAACUUACUGGGAAACAUGCGUGCUAUGUUCCCGUUGUCAACUUCUGUCUAAACUUGCAUUAAUAAAAGUUUUGGAUUGAUUUACUUAAA